rnacentral:rRNA from 1 species
GAGAGUGGAAUUCCACGUGUAGCGGUGAAAUGCGUAGAGAUGUGGAGGAACACCAGUGGCGAAGGCGACUCUCUGGUCUGUAACUGACGCUGAGGAGCGAAAGCGUGGGGAGCGAACAGGAUUAGAUACCCUGGUAGUCCACGCCGUAAACGAUGAGUGCUAAGUGUUAGGGGGUUUCCGCCCCUUAGUGCUGCAGCUAACGCAUUAAGCACUCCGCCUGGGGAGUACGGUCGCAAGACUGAAACUCAAAGGAAUUGACGGGGGCCCGCACAAGCGGUGGAGCAUGUGGUUUAAUUCGAAGCAACGCGAAGAACCUUACCAGGUCUUGACAUCCUCUGACAAUCCUAGAGAUAGGACGUCCCCUUCGGGGGCAGAGUGACAGGUGGUGCAUGGUUGUCGUCAGCUCGUGUCGUGAGAUGUUGGGUUAAGUCCCGCAACGAGCGCAACCCUUGAUCUUAGUUGCCAGCAUUCAGUUGGGCACUCUAAGGUGACUGCCGGUGACAAACCGGAGGAAGGUGGGGAUGACGUCAAAUCAUCAUGCCCCUUAUGACCUGGGCUACACACGUGCUACAAUGGACAGAACAAAGGGCAGCGAAACCGCGGAGGUAAAGCAAUCCCACAAAUCUGUUCUCAGUUCGGAUCGCAGUCUGCAACUCGACUGCGUGAAGCUGGAAUCGCUAGUAAUCGCGGAU